AGAGCAUUCAUCCCUUCCUCCUUGUAAGGACAAGGUGCUAUCUCAGAAGCAGAGCCUGGGCCCUGGCAGACACUGAAUCUGCUGGUGCAUUGAUCUUGGAUUUCUCAGCUUCCAGAACUAAACAAAUGAAAAAUGUGAUGUAUCACAGUUGAUAUAUCGGCAAAUGAAAGGCCUUUAAAAAUAAAUUUCCUCAAGUAGUAAACACGGUGUCAAGAACUACGUAAAUCAGCUGUGAUCGGUCCUGCAUUCCUCCCUGUCACUGGGACCUCACGCACGGAUAUUCACCUUUGCAGAUGUGGAAACAAGAAUUCUCAUAUGAAGCAUAAUAAGUGAGACUCAAGGCUCCAGAUUCUACAACAGAUGCUUCCCAUAUUUAUGCCUAAUGAAGACAUCGUAUUUGAGGAAACAUACAGAAAGAAGAGAAGUCUCUGGAACCUGAACAACAGGAUGGAAAGAAUCAAAGCUGUACUAAGGGAUUGGGAAUUAUGAUUAUUUUUCUGUUCGUGAUCAUUAAGAAUGGAAAUGACUAUUUCAGAC
rnacentral:lncRNA from 13 species